rnacentral:lncRNA from 1 species
UUUUUUUUUUUUUUUUUUGGUCUUUUUAGGGCUGCAUUCAUGGCAUAUGGAGGUUUUCAAAGUCACUGGAAGGAGUUCCCUGAUGGCUUGGCAAAUUAAGCACCCAGCAUUGUCACUGCUGUGGCUCUGAUUACUGCUGCGGUGAGGGUUCGACCCCUGGCCUGGGAACUGUGAUGUGCCGAGGAUGCGGCCAAAAAAAAUUAAUACUAAAAAAAUAAGUCAUUGGAAGAUCUACCAUUGGAAGGCAAAUCAUUCAAUGAUGCUUUAAUAAUACCGUGGAUUAGAGAAAGUAGAAGCAAGGGGAGAGCACUGAGGGCACCAGCACACCAGUCCAGGCCGGAAAUCAUCCGAGCUUGACCUGGGAUAGGAACUAGGAAAAAGACAGAUCCAAGCCACGCUGCAGCCUCUUCCCUAAGAAUUUACUUAGCUUUGAACGUUUCAAACUUAAUUUAUCACACAAAACCAGGCUGGAAUUCACAUUAUUUACAUUAAAAAACAUUCACUUUAUAGGCAAUAUUUCAGCAUACUCGAGUGUGCUUUUUUAAAAAGCUGUUAGGAAUAACUGUACUCUACAUUAAGUCUACCAAAUGGGUAAUAAAGAACAGCAUAUGCAUACUUUCAAUAUCCUGACUAGAAACUCAGUAUGCAAAUUUUCAUUUAAAGAUGAACAUUUUAAACUCAAAAGUUUAUUUCCAUGGGAUACACAAAGUUCAGAUCGGAAUUUUCAAUACAAUCUUGUAAGACCUACAUCCCUACACAAAUUACAAUAACCAACUUUUCGUAAAAUCGUUUUUGAACAACUCAACUCAGUCAAUAUUUCUACCAGGCCCAUAUUUUUCAAAUAUCAGUGCCUUCUUCAUUUUCUCCCCUCCUCCUCACUCACCUCUCCGCCCAACAAAUUCCCUUUGUAUGUCUGCAAGGCAAGAUACUAUAUGAUACAGUAUGAUUCUAAAGUAGUUUGAAUACAUAAUUCUUAUAAUAACAUAAAUCCUGAAUUAUUGACCUUACUUUUUACAGGAGAAGAACCAGUGAAGUGCUGAAUUUCCAUUUACAUGAAUGACACUUGCAUCUAAUAGAAAUGAAGCUUUACCAUUAGAGGGAAACAAAGGGGAAAAUACACACAAUAGAUGGGUGGCAAAUCUUAUAAACUUUGCAAAAUACAGAAAAGCUGCAUCUGGGUUGCAGUUACAAUUGUAAAAGCAAAUAAAGGGAAAAGAAAAAAUCCUAAGUGAUCAUUAAAAGUGAAAAAAGUCGAUUCAAUAUUAGUAUUAGUUUUUAGUAUAAAAUCAUUUAACAUUCUAGGACUAAUUGAAAAAAAAAGGAUAAUUCACUGUUCACAAGGACACAGGAAAUAAUUUCUACA